rnacentral:rRNA from 1 species
UUUUUUUAUGGAGAGUUUGAUCCUGGCUCAGGACGAACGCUGGCGGCGUGCUUAACACAUGCAAGUCGAACGGAAAGGCCUAGCUUGCUAGGUACUCGAGUGGCGAACGGGUGAGUAACACGUGGGUGAUCUGCCUCGUACUUCGGGAUAAGCCUGGGAAACUGGGUCUAAUACUGGAUAGGACCAUGCUUUAG